UACAGAGGUGGCGAGCGUUAUUCGGAAUUAUUGGGCGUAAAGGGCGCGUAGGCGGCUUGACAAGUCCCGGGUGAAAUCCCUCGGCUCAACCGAGGAACUGCCUUGGAAACUGUCUGGCUUGAGGCCGGGAGAGGGUAGUGGAAUUCCCAGUGUAGCGGUGAAAUGCGUAGAUACCAUCCAGAACCCCCGAUUGCGAAGCAGCUGCCUAGACUGUUACUGAC
rnacentral:rRNA from 1 species